UCCACUCACAAGGCAUUGGUCAGCCCGGGGCUAUAGCAGAAGACACUUGCCCAAGAUGCCACGCAGUGGGACUGAACCCGGAACCAUGUGGUUGGUUAGCAAGCUACUUACCACACAGCCACUCAGUUAUGUACAAACUAAAAUAUUGGUUAUCUCAAUCAAAAUGUAACCAAUAAAUGAGAAUUAAUUGCCGAAAGAUAACAGUAAUUAUCAUACAUAAUUACUAUAAUUAAUUAGUAAUGAAAAAGAAUUAUAUGUUAUCAUGAAAUUAAUUCUUAGUUGCCCUUUUUUGCUUUUUGUAUUUUGUUUUUGUUUUUUAUGUAAUUGGCAUUCCUGAAGAAUGCAUUCUUAAGCCAGUUCUAUAUUAUAUUCUUGUGCCAACCAAUAUUCUUAGUUACAUAGUGAUUCCUCCGUCUCUGCUGAAUCAAGUAUGAUGGAGUCUAUGAUUUGCUGAUGAGGUUGUAAUAAGACUGAAGUAUGUCCAGAAUUGUCUUCCACACUUACAGAAAUAAUUUAAAAAAUAUAUUAGCCGCUGACCCGAUAAUGUUUUUUCUUGUCUAAAAUGCAAUUAUUUUUAUUUACUUCAUCAUGUUUCCGGCUUUAUAAAUUUUUGAUUUUUUCCAUGUUUCCCUCAUUGAACAGCAGCCAUGUAGGGUUUUAGACAAAGAGAUCAACCUAAGUCCUUAUUUUUAAAACCUGGUACUUAAUCUGUUAAUCUCUUUCACCAGACUCCUAAGAAAUGGGCAUGCGAACAAACCAACGACAGUUGUGGCAUGGUUGGAUCGACAAACACAAAGGCAUGUACAUAUACGUGUGGUGUUUGUAUGUGUGUAUGUUUGUGUGUGUAUAUAUCUUUGUGUGUGUAUGUGUGUGUGUG